GAUGAACGCUAGCGGAGGCUUAACACAUGCAAGUCGAGGGGCAGCACUGAUAGCAAUAUUAGGCGGCGACCGGCGGACGGGUGAGUAACGCGUAUGCAACCUACCCUUUACAGGGGGAUAGCCCGGAGAAAUUCGGAUUAAUACCCCAUAGAUCAGUGAUUCUGCAUGGGAUUACUGGUAAAGCUUCGGCGGUAAAGGAUGGGCAUGCGUCCCAUUAGCUAGUUGGUAGGGUAACGGCCUACCAAGGCAACGAUGGGUACGGGGUCUUAAAGGAUGGACCCGCACACUGGCACUGAGACACGGGCCAGACUCCUACGGGAGGCAGCAGUGAGGAAUAUUGGUCAAUGGGGGGAACCCUGAACCAGCCAUCCCGCGUGCAGGAAGACAGUUCUAUGGAUUGUAAACUGCUUUUCUUGGGGAAGAAUAAUGACGACGUGUCGUCAGAUGACGGUACCCGAGGAAUAAGCAUCGGCUAACUCCGUG
rnacentral:rRNA from 1 species